rnacentral:rRNA from 1 species
UACGUAGGGUGCAAGCGUUAAUCGGAAUUACUGGGCGUAAAGCGUGCGCAGGCGGUUAUAUAAGACAGUUGUGAAAUCCCCGGGCUCAACCUGGGAACUGCAUCUGUGACUGUAUAGCUAGAGUACGGUAGAGGGGAUGGAAUUCCGCGUGUAGCAGUGAAAUGCGUAGAUAUGCGGAGGAACACCGAUGGCGAAGGCAAUCCCUGGACCUGUACUGACGCUCAUGCACGAAGCGUGGGAGCAACAGG